rnacentral:rRNA from 1 species
UGUAAGCGUAUACCAAAGUUGUUGCAGUUAAAACGCUCGUAGUCGGAAUUUGGCAGUUCCGGAUGUGUGCACGUCGUGUGCGCACUUCGCGGGGAUUGCUUUUGUGGUCUUGCGUAGGAUGAGGCACUUUUAUUAGUGAACGUCCUCACGCAACCACUUUUUACUGUGAGAAAAUCAGAGUGCUCAAAGCAGGCAUUUGCCGUGAAUGUAUUAGCAUGGAAUAAUAGAAUAGGACUUGGUUCUAUUUUGUUGGUUUGUUGGGACUGAGUAAUGAUUAAGAGAGACAGUUGGGGGCAUUUGUAUUUCGGUGCUAGAGGUGAAAUUCUUAGAUUACCGAAAGACAAACUGCUGCGAAAGCGUCUGCCAAGGAUGUUUUCAUUGA